GUCUACGACCAUACCACCCGGAAAACACCGGUUCUCGUCUGAUCACCGAAGUUAAGCCUGGUCGGGCGAAGUUAGUACUUAGAUGGGUGACCGCCUGGGAAUACUUCGUCUUGUAGACU
rnacentral:rRNA from 1 species